CGAAAGCCUGUCUCAGUUCGGAUUGGAGUCUGCAACUCGACUCCAUGAAGCUGGAUUCGCUAGUAAUCGCGCAUCAGCCAUGGCGCGGUGAAUACGUUCCCGGGCCUUGUACACACCGCCCGUCAAGCCAUGGAAGCCGGGAGUGCCUGAAGUGCGUGACCGCAAGGAGCGUCCUAAGGCAAUACCGGUGACUGGGGCUAAGUCGUAACAAGGUAGC
rnacentral:rRNA from 1 species